GGGCCCAUAGCUCAGCUGGUUAGAGCAUCUGACUCAUAAUCAGAGGGUCCCUGGUUCGAGCCCAGGUGGGCCCA
rnacentral:tRNA from 6 species